UUCUCUUUCUCUCAUCUUUUCUCUUAUAAAUGUAUUUUACAUAAGAAUUAGAGUACUAAUAAGAAACAUUCACAAAAUAUUAACAUAAAAAAUUAUUUUAUUAAAAAUGACUAAAAUUAUUAUCAAGGAUUUAAUUUUUGACAUGGUUCAUUUGUUGCAACUAUCUUUUAGUCUCUUACACCUUUUUAGUGAUAGAUUAUAUUGUAUUUGUUCUUCAAAGCCAUGAGACAAUAAAAAAUCUAUGUAACUGUAAAAUAUUGAUCAAAAUAUAACUUUUAUCAACUAAUGAUAUUCUAAUUUUAAAAAAAAUGUUAGUUGUAAGAGAACGAAAACUCAAAAUAAUUUUACAUCAAAAGGUUACUAUUUCUCUUAACUAAGUUAUCUAGAGAAAAAAAAUGGUUAAGAUUAUUAUAGGCCCCUCAAAAUAAAUUUAUCUUAUUAAUAAUUUGAUUAUUAUGAAUUAAUUAGCAUAUAAUGGGUGAAUGUGUAAUAAUUUUAAUGCCUAUGCAAUUAAUGCACUAAUGUUUUUAAAGUUUAAUUGGAUCGUAUAUAUUUUGGUGUAUAGUGCAAAUUAGAAUAUAUAUAAAGGUUCAUGGUUGUUACCUCUUUCCAAAUUAAAGCUUUGUUCACAAUUACAAAUGAUAAUGGACAAUCUAUUUAGUCAAUUGUAGUAUUUAGUUUCUACACUUAUAUUAUGAACUCAUUUAGUCAUAAGUGUGGUUUUGUUAGUUCGUUACUUGUGCAUCAAGACUUUGUGUGUUGGAUAGGGAUCACCUAAUAGAUAGAUUUACUAAACGAUUCUUAUAAUUGUCAAAGGACAGCUUUGCUGUCCACACUUCUUUCCUUGUUUUAGCCCACACUUCUUUCCUUAUUUUAGCCCAUAAUUGUUUCCUUAUUUCUCCAUUUAUUAUUCUGUACAGUUAGCAUACAUUAUUUGACAGAUUAUAGUUUACAUGUAUAGGGCUAGAAUCAUGCGGGAAUUUAUUUGCUUUUAUUUGCUUCCCAUGUAUAACAUCCUUGUAAAGUCUAUAUAUAAUAUACAAAACUCAAGGUCAAGGUAUUUGACCAUUCACACAAUAUUUUGACAUGGUAUCAGAGCAAGGUUGCUAAUUUUUCUUCCAUCAAAUUCUUUUCUGUCUUCUCGGUUUUGGAGGUGCUUCUCGUGUCUUUCGGUCAAGUCUAUGUUGAUCCGUGCUGCACCCAACCACAACCAUUUUUCUCGGUAUUUCUGUGGCUAUCGUGGGUCAGUUUUCUUUUGGGAUUGUUUUGGUCCAUCCUUUUGUCUCGGGUUCUAUUUAUUUUCUAUGGAUUCCGCACCUGUCUGUGUUAAGUUUACAGUAACAAAUUAUUCUACCUAGGCAUUUCAGUUUGAACUUUUUCUCAAGGGAAAAGACCUUUGGGGUCAUAUUGAUGGCACGGAUGUUGAAAAACCAUCCACUUUUGACAAAUCUCAGGAUGUUGGCUCUUCUCUUUCAAGGGUUGUGCUUGAUGCACGCAUCAUGUCUUGGCUUCUUGGUUCAGUGGAGCCUCAUAUUGUCACCCACUUGCGGCUCCAUCGCUUCUCUCAAUCUAUGUGGGCUUACUUGAAGAAAGUUUAUCAUCAGGAUAACGAUGCUCGUCGCUUUCAGUUAGAACAUGCGAUUGCCAUGUUUCAACAUAGUAGUCUUUCCAUCACUACUACUCGACAUUUCUAACUCUUUGGCAUGAAUAUGCUGAUUUGAUUACAGCGAAUGUUCCUAUUGCCGUUCUCUCAACUAUUCAGACUAUUCACGCGACUACCCAGCGUGAUCAGUUUCUUAUGAAACUAUGUCCGGAAUAUGAAUCUGUCCGCUCCUCUUUACUGAACAGAUCUACUGUUCUCUCUCUUGAUAUUUGUUUUGGUGAGUUACUUCGCGAAGAGCAGCGCCUUAGUACUCAAGCUAUUUUGGAGCAAUCUCAUGGCAGUUCCGGGACGGCAACUGUAGCUUAUGCUGCCCAAAGACGUGGACCACCUAUGCAUUCUAAAAACUUGCAGUGUUUCUGCUGCAAGGAAUAUGGGCAUAUUGCUGCCACUUGUCCUAAGAAGUUUUGUUCUUAUUAUAAGAAGGGUGGUCACAUUAUCAAAGAAUGUCGUAUUCACCCCCAAAAUCGUCAGGCCCAAGCAUUUCAGACUUCGGUUAUUGUCCCUCUUGUAGCAACUUCUGCAGCACACAACUCUCCUUCAGCUGCGUGAUCUGUUCCUGUACCUCUUACACCAUAUUACUGCACCCCAGAAAUGGUGCAAUAGAUGUUAAUUUCAGCAUUAUCAGCAAUGGGGUUCCAAGGUAACAAUUCUACUAAACUCUGGUACGUGGACUCGGGGGCCUCUAAUCACAUGACUAAUAAUCCCACCGCUUUGUGUCAUGUUCGGCCCUACGCUGGUCAAUCUUCCAUUCAGACUGCCAAUGGCAACUCUUUGCCUAUAACUGCAAUCGGCGAUGCCUCUUCUAAGUUCACUGAUGUGUUUCUUGCUUCUCAGCUUUCCACGAAUCUUAUUUCUGUUGGCCAAUUAGUUGAUAACAAUUGUGCUGUUAAUUUUUCUAGUAAUGGUUGUGUUGUGUAAGACUAGGUAACGGGGGAGCCGAUGGCGAAGGGACCUAAAGUGGGGCCCUUGUUUCCACUAUUUUUACCUGUUCCAGAUUUUUCUCCACUUUCUUUUAUUAAGUCUUUUGCUUGUAAUAAUGUUUUAGAUCUUAGUAUGGUGUGGCAUCGUCGUUUAAGCCAUCCCAAUACUCAAAUCUUAUCUCAUGUAUUGAACUCUGAUUUACCUGGUAAUAAGGAUCGUUCUUCUUUAUUUCUUGAGUGUGAUUCUUGCAAACUUGGUAAAAGUAAAACUCUUCCCUUCCCUUUGCAUGCAAGUAGAGCAUCUCACUGCUUUGAUCUUAUCCAUAGUGAUGUUUGGGAACCUUCCCCGGUUAGUUCACAUGAGAAAUUUAAAUAUUAUGUGACUUUUAUUGAUGAUCAUAGAAGAUUUACUUGGGUCUACUUUCUUCGCUCUAAAUCUGAGGUCUUUCGUACUUUCACUAAGUUUUUAGCGUAUGUUGACAAUCUAUUUUCUACUUCUAUUCAGACAUUAUGCACAGAUUCCGAUGGUGAGUAUUUGUUUAUUGAGUUUCAAGCAUUCUUGGCUUCUAAGGGUAUUAUUCAUCAACGUUCAUGUCUCUCUACUCCUCAACAAAAUGGAGUUGCCGAACGCAAAAAUCGUCAUCUCCUAGAUGUGGUACAUACUAUCUUGUUAGAAUCUUCUGUUCCAUCCAUGUUUUGGGUAGAGGCUCUGAAAACUGCUACUCAUUUGAUUAAUCAUUUACCUUCUCAAGUCCUACAUAUGGAGUCUCCCUAUUUCCGCUUAUUUGCUAAGCAACGUAGUUAUGAUCACCUUCGUAUUUUUGGUUGUGUAUGCUUUGUUCAUUUACUUCCUCACGAGUGACAUAAAUUAUUUGUUCAAUUUAUUUGAUGUGCUUUCUUGGGAUAUAAUAUGUGUCAAAAGGGAUUUUUUUGCUAUGAUCCUACAUUACAUCGUACAUGUAUUUCUAAGAAUGUUAUUUUCUUUGAAAAUCAACAUUUAUUUCCUAUAUCCUCUUCUAUUGUUCCAUCCUAUUCUAUUGUGGUCCUCCCCUCCUUUAAGCAGCAGUUCUCAGAUCUUCAUCCAGUUAGUUCUCGCUUUCAACUAGGUAUUGUGUAUACAAGACGCUCCCGCCCAUAGUCUCUUUCGAUGGCUCACCCGAUAUCUGAUCCUAUCACGCUCCAGAUUCAGUCAGUUGCAAUACCUCCAGCACCUUUAGUACGUCGCUUUCCUCGAGUGUCUGUACCUCCGAAUAGGUAUGGAUUUCCCUUUUCCAGUUCUGGCAAUUCUAUUUCAACCCUUACUGCUGGAUUGUCCAAUUUUGAUAUUCCCACAUGCUACUCACAUGCUGCCAAGCAUGAAUGUUGGCCACAAGCUAUGCAGGAAGAAAUUGCCGCUCUAGAGGCCAAUCACACUUGGGACAUUGAGCUUUGUCCUCCCACUAUUGUUCCUCUAGGUUGCAAAUGGGUUUACUUAGUCAAGGUUCGAUAUGAUGGAAGUUUGGAUCGUUACAAAGCUCGACUUGUUGCACUUGGGAAUAAUAAGGAAUAUGGUGUCAAUUAUGAAGAGACCUUUGCUCCUGUGGCUAAAAUGACUACUGUUCGUACGAUUCUAGCUCUUGCUGCUUCCAGUGAUUGGCCACUACAUUAGAUGGAUGUAAAAAAAUGAUUUUCUUCAUGGGGAUCUUAAAGAGUGUAUUUAUAUGAAGCCACCCCCGGGAUUGUUUUCCUUUCCGACUUCACAUGUGUGUAAGCUUUGUCGCUCUCUUUAUGGUCUCAAAUAGGCUCUGAGGGCCUGGUUUGAUAAAUUCCGCACCACUUUAUUACAAUUUUCAUUCAGGCAGAGCAAGUAUGACACUUUCUUGUUUCUUCGGAAAUCAGACAUGCGUAUUGUUGUUCUUUUAGUUUAUGUUGAUGAUAUUGUGAUCACUGGUUCUAAUUUUGCUUUACUUGGUCAACUCAAAACUCAUCUCUCCGAGUCCUUUCAUAUGAAAGAUCUUGGGUCUCUCACAUAUUUUCUUGGUCUUGAGGUGCAUCAUAGUCCCUAUGGUAUUUCCCUCAAUCAACAUAAGUAUGCGGGUGACUUGGUGGCUACCGCUGGUCUACAAGGGGCUACUUCUAUUGAUACUCCCAUGGAAUUAAAUGUCAAGCUUCGUAAAGAGGAGGGGACUUACUUGCUGAUCCCAGUUUAUAUAGGAAGUUGGUGAGUAGCCUUGUUUAUCUCACCAUUACUAGACUGGACAUUUCUUUUGUUGUACAGCAAGUCAACCAGUUCCUUCAGACUCCUCGCCAUCUUCAUUUAGCUGUUGUCUGUAGGAUCAUACAUAUGUUCAAGGCACUUCUACUCGUGGCUUGUUCUUCCCUGCAGGCAAUUCUACUCGCCUUGCUGCUUAUAGUGAUGCUGAUUGGGCUGGUUGUGCGGAUACCCAUCGCUCCAUCACUGGUUAGUGUGUGUUCUUAGGUGAUGCAUUGAUCUCUUGGAAAAGUAAGAAGCAAGGCAGAGUCUCUAAGUCAUCUACGGAAUCUGAGUACCGGAUCACGACCAAUCCUGUCUAUCAUGAGCGCACAAAGCAUAUUGAAGUGGACAGUCACUCUAUCCGUGAAGCCUUUGAAGCUCGUGUUAUCACUCUUCCACAUAUUUCCACUGACUUACAAAUUGCUGAUAUCUUCACCAAGGCUCUCCCUCGUCAUCGACAUUGCUUGCUAAGUAGCAAAUUGAUGCUUGUUGAUAAACCUGCAUCAAUUUGAGGGGGGUUGUCAAAGGACAGCUUUGCUGUCCACACUUCUUUUCUUAUUUUAGCCCACAAUUGUUUCCUUAUUUCUUCAUUUAUUAUUCUGUACAGUUAGCAUACAUUAUUUGACAGGUUAUAGUUUACAUGUAUAGGGCUAGAAUCAUGUGGGAAUUUAUUUUCUUUUAUUUGCUUCCCAUGUAUAGCAUCCUUGUAAAGUCUAUAUGUAAUAUACAAAACUCAAGGCCAAGGUAUUUGACCAUUCACACAAUAUUUUGACAA